CACCACCACCACCACCAUCAUCAUCACUACCACCACCACCACCAUCACCACCACCAUCACCACCACCACCACCACCACCACCACUACCAUCACCACCACCACCACCACUACCAUCACCACCACCACCACCACCAUGGAGCGGAGCUGCUCUCCUUCUACUCUUCGAGGGCUUCCUUCUGUUCAAUCUCUAGGAAGCUUUCCUGCCCUCACCAACCUGGUCUCCCACACCUUCCUGUCCUCCUCCCUCUGCUGCCGCUCCUGUCCUUUGCCAGUGUCCCCUCUAUCCGUGCCUGCCAUCCCCCUGUCUGGCUCAUGGCCCAGACCUUUCAUUUUCCUAUCCCCUCACCUCAAACAUAGCCUCUAAUUACCUCCAAAUGCAGAUGGCGACCAGUCCAGAACUCUGCCCCCACCCCCCACUGGCCCAGACCUCUGUAGCCAGUGGCCUGGUGUUUCACAGGCACCUGAAACUCAACUCCUCCCAGAGGAUCCUUGUUGUUUCACCUUCUUCUUCCAGCUCUUUCUUCUGCAGGGAAGGAGGAGGGAACCAUUCAUGCAGAACCUGUAGGUUCUAACCUAACCUCCACAUCCCAUUUUCCUGUGUCCUAAACAUCUCCUGGGUCCAUUACCCUCUUCCAAACAGCCUCCUGACCUUUAUCUACCCUUGCCCUUCAACUCCAUUCUGAGCAAUAUGUCAUUCUGACAUGAGAUCCUUCAAGGGCGCCCCAUUACCCUCAGGAAAAAGUCCAAAUGGUUUAGGAGGUGUUCAAGGUCCUGUUGGCUUGGGCUCCUCCCUCUCCUUAUGCUACCCAGAUCCUGCGGCUCCAGCCAGCUUUAUUGAAAUGGCACCACUCGCAGGCUGUUCGCUGGCCUGUAAGAACCCUUGUUUGCAGGCUAAAAGCGGACUCCAAGUCAUCCUACAGGCCUCUGUCCAGACUUCUCUGCGUCCAGGGAACCCUCCCUGGCUCCCCCAAGGCUGUCCAGGCUGUCCCUAACACCAAGCACGCAUGCGCGCUUCUCUAGCACUGUGAAUUAAGCCGCAGGGCCUUUGUCCACUGUUUUUAAUCUUUGGAUUGAAAUCCCUGCAUCCUAGGCUUCUAGAAGUGCUGUCCGUGCAAGAACCUCGCCUGUCUUGCUCCCAUUGCACACCUAGAACCUGGAACGGAAAGUGCCGGGUUCUGCCAAAUAGUGGAAACUGGGAGGAGAAAACCCAACUGGCUGUCCUGACUCCUGCUCCCGCCCUCUGCCUCUCCGCGUGGUCUCUAGAGGACCAGGAAUGGGGACAAGGUGAUGCUGGUCACCUGGACCUGGAAAGCUCAAUCCAAAGAUUUUGACAGAUUUACACGGAGAGGUUGUGGAAGCAUGAAGAUGUUCUGGAGAUGAGGGAUCUGGGUCAAAGCUGCCAUGUCUCUCUUCCUGCUAAAGGGACGGACCCGCGGAUGCUGGAACUCCUAGAAGUUAGAUAGACAGUGUCCCUCCGCUCCCCAACACACACACACACAGGGCACACUUCUGUCUCCACUCCUGUUUCCAGAGCAGUGACUUUCACUUAUGUAUGUAUGUAUUUUGUGGUACAAGGUAUGGAACCCAGGAGCCAUCCAUCACCAAGCUACAUCCCCAGCCCUGUUCAUUUUUUGAGACAGGGUCUUACUAAAUUGCUCAGACUGUCUCAAACGUGCGAUCCUCCUGCCUCAGCUCCCUGAGCAGCUAGGAUUAUAGGCCUGGGCCGCUGUGCCAGCUCCGUUUUAAAAUCACAAGUCACACUAAGAAAUGGCAUUUCAUGUCUCAACCCAUUACUUAUCUGAGAGUCUGCCCAUGCAGAUACACAGAAGCAAAAACUCUCCAAAGCCCUACAUUCCUACAUUAUGUGUUUGCGUUUUAUGCUACUUUUUGUUUUGUUAUCAGGAAUUGAACCUAGGGAAGCUUUUCCUCUGAGCCACAUGCCCAGCCCUUUUUUAUCUGUUACCUGAGACAGGGUCUCACUAAGUUGCUUAAGAUGCUUAGGGCUUUGCUAUAUUGCUGAGGCUGGCCUGGAACUUGCAAUCCUCCUGCCUGACCUCCCAAGUUGUUGGGAUUCAGGUAUGUGCCACCAUGCAUGGCUUUUUUUUUUUUUUUUCCUUUAAACUUUUUGGUGCUGGGGAUUGAACCCAAAAGCCUUCCACAUGGCAAGCACAUGAUCUACCACUGAAGACUAUACCCCCAGCUCUAUGAAGCCAGAUUUAAAAUUAGGUAGUCAGUGUAGUUAGGUAAAUCGGGUCUAAUAUCCAGUGAAAUCUAAAAUGGAGGCCAUGUUGAGAAUGAAUUCCUGGAAAAAGUUGAGCAACUCUCGGAAUGUUAAUGAAGUCCAGGAAACAGCCCCCAACAGAUUUGAAGAUAGCCCAUCCCAAAGAAAUGUUAAUGAACAGCAAACUUGAAGAUGCUGACUCGGAAGUGCCCAGAUUACUUCUUUGGCCCACCUGUGUCCCAACCCUUGGGCCUUCCCACCUACAUUCCAUCACCAAAAACUAUAAAAAGGGGAACACAUUUGCCCUUCAAUGGAUUCCAUCUCUUGGGUUCCCUUCUUCCUCCAGGAGAAGUCUUUUCUGCUGUCCUUUAAUAAACUUCUAAUUUUCCACUCUGA